GCCUCGUGAAUUCAUCUCCGGGGGUAGAGCACUGUUUCGGCUAGGGGGCCAUCCCGGCUUACCAACCCGAUGCAAACUGCGAAUACCGGAGAAUGUUAUCACGGGAGACACACGGCGGGUGCUAACGUCCGUCGUGAAGAGGGAAACAACCCAGACCGCCAGCUAAGGUCCCAAAGUCAUGGUUAAGUGGGAAACGAUGUGGGAAGGCCCAGACAGCCAGGAUGUUGGCUUAGAAGCAGCCAUCAUUUAAAGAAAGCGUAAUAGCUCACUGGUCGAGUCGGCCUGCGCGGAAGAUGUAACGGGGCUAAACCAUGCACCGAAGCUGCGGCAGCGAACGUAUCACUUAAAGCGAUUCAGCGGGUUACGAUUGACGGAGCGAAGCGACGUCAAAGCGUAUACAAAGUCGAGUCGGUUUAAGGAUACGUUCGUUGGGUAGGGGAGCGUUCUGUAAGCCUGUGAAGGUGUGUCGUGAGGCAUGCUGGAGGUAUCAGAAGUGCGAAUGCUGACAUAAGUAACGAUAAAGCGGGUGAAAAGCCCGCUCGCCGGAAGACCAAGGGUUCCUGUCCAACGUUAAUCGGGGCAGGGUGAGUCGACCCCUAAGGCGAGGCCGAAAGGCGUAGUCGAUGGGAAACGGGUUAAUAUUCCCGUACUUGGUGUUACUGCGAAGGGGGGACGGAGAAGGCUAUGUUGGCCGGGCGACGG
rnacentral:rRNA from 1 species